GAUGAACGCUGGCGGCGUGCUUAACACAUGCAAGUCGAACGAUGAAGCCCAGCUUGCUGGGUGGAUUAGUGGCGAACGGGUGAGUAACACGUGAGUAACUUGCCCUUGACUCUGGGUUAAGCCUGGGAAACUGGGCUUAAUACUGGAUAUGACUUCUCAUCGCAUGGUGGGGGGUGGAAAGAUUUAUUGGUCUUGGAUGGACUCGCGGCCUAUCAGCUUGUUGGUGAGGUAAUGGCUCACCAAGGCGACGACGGGUAGCCGGCCUGAGAGGGUGACCGGCCACACUGGGACUGAGGCACGGCCCAGACUCCUACGGGAGGCAGCAGUGGGGAAUAUUGCACAAUGGGCGCAAGCCUGAUGCAGCGGCGCCGCGUGAGGGAUGACGGCCUUCGGGUUGUAAACCUCUUUCAGUAGGGAAGAAGCGAGGGUGACGGUACCUGCAGAAGAAGCGCCGGCUAACUACGUG
rnacentral:rRNA from 1 species